rnacentral:rRNA from 1 species
CAGUCGCCACGGUAAUACGAAGGGUGCAAGCGUUACUCGGAAUUACUGGGCGUAAAGCGUGCGUAGGUGGUGGUUUAAGUCCGUUGUGAAAGCCCUGGGCUCAACCUGGGAAUUGCAGUGGAUACUGGGUCACUAGAGUGUGGUAGAGGAUAGUGGAAUUUCCGGUGUAGCAGUGAAAUGCGUAGAGAUCGGAAGGAACAUCUGUGGCGAAGGCGACCAUCUGGGCCAACACUGACACUGAGGCACGAAAGCGUGGGGAGCAAACAGGAUUAGAUACCCCCGUAGUCCCUGUCUCUUAUAC